UACGGGGGGAGCAAGCGUUGUUCGGAUUUACUGGGCGUAAAGGGCGCGUAGGCGGUCAGCACAAGUCAGUUGUGAAAUCUCCGGGCUUAACUCGGAAAGGUCAACUGAUACUGUGCGACUAGAGUGCAGAAGGGGCAACUGGAAUUCUCGGUGUAGCGGUGAAAUGCGUAGAUAUCGAGAGGAACACCUGCGGCGAAGGCGGGUUGCUGGGCUGACACGUGACGCUGAGGCGCGAAAGCUAGGGGAGCGAACGGG
rnacentral:rRNA from 1 species